rnacentral:rRNA from 1 species
UGGGGAAUCAUGGUCAAUGGGCGAAAGCCUGAACCUGCGACGCCGCGUGAGUGAUGAAGGUCGUAAGAUCGUAAAACUCUUUUCAGGGAUCUUAAAGCACAACCGUCAACAACGGCUGUGUGUGACUCUCCCUGGAAGAAGCCCCAGCCAACUACGUGCCAGCAGCUGCGGUCAUACGUAGGGGGCGAGCGUUAUUCGGAAUUACUGGUGGGAAAGGGUAUGUAGGCGGCCCUUCAAGUCGCGUGUCAAAGUCCAGUGCUCAACGCUGGGGGUGC